rnacentral:rRNA from 1 species
ACUCCUACGGGAGGCAGCAGUGGGGAAUAUUGGACAAUGGGCGAAAGCCUGAUCCAGCCAUGCCGCGUGUGUGAAGAAGGCCCUCGGGUUGUAAAGCACUUUCAGUGCAGGAAGAACGCUUGGUGGCUAAUACCCUGCAAGGAAGACAUCACUCACAGAAGAAGCACCGGCUAACUCCGUGCCAGCAGCCGCGGUAAUACGGAGGGUGCGAGCGUUAAUCGGAAUUACUGGGCGUAAAGCGCGCGUAGGCGGCUUGAUAAGCCGUUGUGAAAGCCCGGCUCAACCUGGGAACGGCAUCCGGAACUGUCAGGCUAGAGUGCAGGAGAGGAAGGUAGAAUUCCCGGUGUAGCGGUGAAAAUGCGUAGAGAUCGGGAGGAAUACCAGUGGCGAAGGCGGCCUUCUGGACUGACACUGACGCUGAGGUGCGAAAGCGUGGGUAGCAAACAGGAUUAGAUACCCUGGUAGCGAGUAG